UGGGGAAUAUUGCACAAUGGGGGAAACCCUGAUGCAGCGACGCCGCGUGAGCGAAGAAGGUUUUCGAAUCGUAAAGCUCUGUCCUAUGAGAAGAUAAUGACGGUAUCAUAGGAGGAAGCCCCGGCUAAAUACGUGCCAGCAGCCGCGGUAAUACGUAUGGGGCGAGCGUUGUCCGGAAUUAUUGGGCGUAAAGGGCAUCUAGGCGGUAAGACAAGUUGAAGGUGAAAACCUGUGGCUCAACCAUAGGCUUGCCUACAAAACUGUUGAACUAGAGUACUGGAAAGGUGGGUGGAACUACACGAGUAGAGGUGAAAUUCGUAGAUAUGUGUAGGAAUGCCGAUGAUGAAGAUAACUCACUGGACAGAAACUGACGCUGAAGUGCGAAAGCUAGGGGAGCAAACAGG
rnacentral:rRNA from 1 species